CAAGCGUUAAUCGGAAUUACUGGGCGUAAAGCGCACGCAGGCGGUUUGUUAAGUCAGAUGUGAAAUCCCCGCGCUUAACGUGGGAACUGCAUUUGAAACUGGCAAGCUAGAGUCUUGUAGAGGGGGGUAGAAUUCCAGGUGUAGCGGUGAAAUGCGUAGAGAUCUGGAGGAAUACCGGUGGCGAAGGCGGCCCCCUGGACAAAGACUGACGCUCAGGUGCGAAAGCGUGGGGAGCAAACAGGAUUAGAUACCCUGGUAGUCCACGCUGUAAACGAUGUCGACUUGGAGGUUGUGCCCUUGAGGCGUGGCUUCCGGAGCUAACGCGUUAAGUCGACCGCCUGGGGAGUACGGCCGCAAGGUUAAAACUCAAAUGAAUUGACGGGGGCCCGCACAAGCGGUGGAGCAUGUGGUUUAAUUCGAUGCAACGCGAAGAACCUUACCUACUCUUGACAUCCAGAGAAUUCGCUAGAGAUAG
rnacentral:rRNA from 1 species